GACUCACUUCCACCCGCUUCGCGUUCUCCCAGCGCGCCCCUUCCCCCCCACCACCACCACUACCUCCUCUUCCCGAAGUAAAAGGUCAGCAAGAGGCUGGAAAGUGAGAGCCCUUUUCUUCAUGCCCAGCACGCAGGCAGAGUCUGGUGUGUUAGCGAAGAUACGACCUAAAGGGGACAAGAAGUUAAACAAAUCCAGUUUACUAAACGUGUUCUGCUCCUUUUGAUCCUUUUCUUUGCAUUCUCAUUCCUUAUGCAAAGCACUAAAAUGGUCUCUCUGUUGGAUUUCUACUAUAUAAAUAAAGCCCUCUGUUUUACCUA